rnacentral:lncRNA from 1 species
CUCGCCCCAUCAACAUGGUGCCCAAAGAAAGGGGGGGAGGGGGAAGGUCACGUGGCGGGAAAGCGGGCUGGCAGCGGCGCGCGGCAAGAGCGAGACCGCGGCGGCGCGCGCGGCAGCCGUUAGCACGUUCUUCCCGCCGCCCCUCCCCCACCCGCGAGGCCGCCAGUCCCGGGCCGCGCGCGGAGAGGGCCCUUCCCGCCCAAACGGGGGCAGCACGAGAGAGCGCGGACCGGCCGAAGAAGGAAGGCGGGGAGAAGGAAAGAGAGUGCAAUAAGAAAAGAUAUAACCGUGCCAGCGUUCAGCUCGGCGCCUUCCCGCCCCGCUCGGUCCCACGCCGGCGCUGGCCUGGCGCACUCACCGCCGCCCGCUGAGGGGUGGAGACGCAGCGCACAGCCGUUACUGGUGGCGUCGGGCGGGCACCGCCUCUUCCUCUCACGAAGAAAAAAAGCUGAAGAUAAAGAGGAAAAGAAAAAUGGAGGACAUAGCAGGUAAUAUCUGCUGUUCUUGAGAUCCAAAUUCCUAAGAAUAGCAUAUAAUUAUUCUUGACCUUUGUGUUCAUUCUUUGUUACUACGAUUUGAAAAAUACUAGUUAUCAAUAACUGUACUACUAGCUAAAUGAUUUUAUUGGGUACGUUUUAUUAAGGGGAGGAGCUGCAGGUGGAUUUCCUGCUUGCUUAUGUAGCUGUGCAAGAGGGUAAGGCAGGGAAAAUAAAUCUUGUUCUUCUCUUGACUGCAAUGCAGAUCUGGCUCUGGGAGGGGUUUUCAGAUCUGCAUGGCUCAAGCACGUGGUCAGCGUUCAGCCAAUAGUUAGCCUUACUUCUGGCAGUGGGUCUGCGUUGCUCAAAAUGGCUUAGUCUGCCUGCUAAACGUUAGAAAAUAUAACUUCUUUCUCUGAAUUGAAUUUGCACACAUUAUUCGGACAGUGAUUUAUAUGUGAAACAUAACCUUAGCUGUUUAUUUGGUAUACACAGUAGCUACCCUAACUUCUGUUUUGCCAAGGACUGGCGCUGACAGGGUUUUUUUGUUUGUUCGUAUGUUUGUUUUAAUAACAGCUACAUAGAGGAUUCUUUUCCUGCACUAACUCUCCCAGCUAUGCUUAAGGUGCUAGCACUGUGCUUGUUCAUGGCAUGCAAUGCUUCAAUCUGUUUACAUGUUGUGCUCCAUUUUGAAUUAUAUGUUCUCCAGGAAUUCAGAUAUUGGAAAAGACAUUGAAUUGUUUUUUGUUUUUUGUUUUUUUUUUACAUAGUUCUUUUCUGUUGCUGCAGAGAAACCUUUAUUUUUAAUUUGAGAUUUUUAGAUUACUGUAAUGGAAGAAUGUGUACAGUUCUCUGUUAUAUAGAUAGCAUGAAACAUAUGUAAAUAAUGUUAGGUCUUUCAAAAGCUGACAAAAUACAUUUUAAUUCCAAGGGGUAAUAGCACAUGUGCUAAGGUUUGCAUUUGGAACUCCAAGUCUUAUCUGUUUUAAAAAGAAAUUCUAAAGUCUACACAAUUAUUUAAAUGUGUUAAUAAGAGAAUGGUAAAAUAAGCAGAUUAUGCAAGAGAUUUUAAUGUAAGAUUAACUAGCUAAUACAUAAAAAAAAAUAUUCAUUUUUAAGGCUGUAACUUUAAGUGAUGUUGUGUAAGCAAAAGUCAUUCAUUUCUGUUUUAAAUGGAAUUUGAAUUAAUUUUAAUUGUUGACAUCUUGCUUCUGGAAGAAUGACGGACAACUGUUAUUUGUAGAGUGUCAUUUGACUUCCUCUGAAACCUAUCACUCCCCUUGAAUGGUACUACAAACACCAGCAUCUUUCUAACAUCAGCAACCAUGAUGCUGUUGUAGUUGUUAGCAGGUAACAAUCUAUAGUACCCAGAUGUCAGGGGACUGGGUUACAAUAUCCUGUACCAUCUUUAGUUAAACUGUAGUUUAAUUUUGUGGUGUUUAAGAGAUUUAAAGAAACCAUCUAGCAAUGUCUCCAAAGUGUACAGAAAUUCUAGGUGAAGGAUUUAGAGUUAUGAAAUCAGAUUCUUAUCUGAUGCAUGUUCCUUGGAGUUCAUAUUGACUGAGGAUGAGGCCUUCAACCUAAGCAGUCCUAGGUACCUUGUGGAUAUUAUCUGUUUUCAUAUUUUAGUGCCAUUUCAGAGAUGGUGCUCAAAACCUGUAGAUACAUAGAUCUGUUUAUUUCCCUUCUGGAAUGAAGUUGAAGAAGUAUUACCUUGGAUUCAGUGAUUUAGGACUUAGUAGUUUAUUCAGCAAAGAGAGCUGUACCAUUUCAGACACUAGCUGCGGUUGUAUCAUGACAUUUCCAAUGGUGAAAGUUUGGUGUUGUAAAUUUUGGCAUCUCUCAGUAUACAAUAUUUUAUUUAAAACUCAAGAAGUGUGCUUGUAGUAUUAUUAUGGAAAAUGUGCAGCUGGCUCUCUCUGUAGAAUGCUUCUGGUGCCGCCAUUUUGUCUAAGAAUUGAGUACUUGGUGACCUUCCCGUGCAGUCAUGUGCUAACACUCCAGUACACCUGUUGCUUUUAUUCUCUCCCUGUUUGGAAGUUGGCCAGAGGAAUAAUAAGUUGCUUCUCUUCUGUAGUCCUCUGCCUAAACAAAACCUUUGUCUUUUCUGGUUGGUUGGUUGGGUUUUUUUUAAGCUUAGCACCCUUCCAAGAGUUUAAGCAGACGUGCAAUUAUACACUACAUCCCAGUGGAAAAGUGGGACUAAUUUGUAAGGCCUGGAGCAGAAGUGAGCUGAAUUGCUUCUCUGUGAAGGGUAAAUAGGAAAAAGGCUAUUUAGUAUUAAGUCCAGUUUCACUUGGAAUGAGUAUGUCCCUACCAGGUGUUGCCAGAUACUGUCUGUUUGAUAACUGUCUCAUAAACUCAGUUUGUAACAUCAGGAAUCAUGUUUCAUUUUUGUCUACCUUACUUAAAUUAUAUUAGUAUGCCAGAACAGCAUAUAUUAGGAAGCACUGUAUGAACACCACCGGUGCAGAUGUCUCCUUAGACCUUGUUCAGACCUUUCUGAGACUAUACUGUUGUUCUUCCAAGAGCUCUGUGAAUAUUGCUGCUUCUGCUGAGGUUCUGCAUAGGUCACAAUUGAGGUAGGAUGGUGAGGAAAGAGGAAGGCGUCCAGGCGAGUUUUGGAUAUCUCCAGAGAAGGAGAUCCACUGUCUCUCUGGGCAGCCUGUUCCAGUGCUCUGUAACUCUCAAAGUCAAGAAGUUUUUCCUUAUGUUCCUAUGGAACUUUGUAUGUUCCAGUUUGUGUCCUUUGCCCUUUGUUCUGUCGCUGGGUGCUGCUGAGAAGAGCCUGGUCCCAUCCACUUGGCUCCCACCCUUUUGAUAUUUAUAAGCAUUGAUGAUCACCUCUCAGUUUUCUCCAGGUUGAAUAGUCCCUGA